AGUAAACAAUUUCAUCAAUUUCUAUUGAUAAAAACUAGCUUGAUUGAUAGAAUAAUUAGACAGUUACACAAAGUGUGUCGUGUGUACAUUAUGCUGACGUACGUGAUAAGUUUUUAACAAUAAACAUGAAUAGAAUUUUUUAUA
rnacentral:pre_miRNA from 1 species